rnacentral:lncRNA from 1 species
CUGUAGUGCAGCAUUUGAAGAAAAUAUGUUUGUGUCCUUUGGACCCACUAUAUACCAGGCAAAGCCACUAAAAGAGAAUACAAAAUCUCCAUAAAACCCCUCACUUGGAAACUUAGAACUUCUUGUUUUUAGAGUGAUGAAUAGAGCCCCAUAAAUUACUGAUUUUUAUCAUUAAUCAUGAUGUUUAUUACAGCUUUUAUUGGGGAGGUAGAAGUUAGAUCAAUGUCUGCUGUUUCUCUCAGAACAUCCACUCAACAGUGCCUGUUCAGCUGGGAUUCUAACUCACCACUUUUGCUGAGUGAUAUUGUUCACCAUGCACAGACUGGUCAAAUAACCUUCUCACAGCUUUUAAAGGACUAAUUAGGGAAGUAGGCUUGACGAAUAAACUCACCAUUUAUGAAGAAGGAACCACUGACCUGAUAGAAACUGAACUCUCAAUAGCAGGUAAGCAUUCCUUCCUUAAAAUAAUAAAUUUCAAAUUAU